rnacentral:lncRNA from 1 species
UAUGCAUGGGGAUAUCCCACGGUGCUCCGGACAUGCCUGUCACAGAGGAGAGGAAGCAACAGAUACGUGUCACAAUGUCACAUCAACGCAAAUAGGCCCUUGUUCACUUGGCCAAAUUGGGAGGUGCCAAAUUACUGUAGCAACACUGUAGCGUUUCGUUUGUAUUUGUGAAUUAUUGUCCAAACAUUGACUAAUUAGGCUCAAAAGAUUCAUCUCGCAAAGUACAACAAAACUGUGCAAUUAGUUUUUAAUUUCAUCUACAUUUAGUACUCCAUACAUGUACCGCAAGUUUGAUGUGAUGGGGAAUCUUCUUUUUGCAUAGUGUUAAAGUUGGGAGUUGGGAGUAAAGUGAACAAGGGCUAGACUAAGGUAGCCUCCAUAUGACUGUGUAUGGACUGAAUGCACUUUGUGUAUUCCUGUUCAGACCUUGGAGCUCCAGACGUCCAUGGAGGAGAAAUAAACAACAUUCAGCUUCGACUUAGCGGAGCAGCUGGGAUAACUGGAC